rnacentral:lncRNA from 1 species
AAAAUCUGAACAAUUGAAAAUUCGGAAACUCGCAUGACUGAUUAAUAUACAAAUGUUAACAACCAUAUUAUGGUUGGAAAUGAAUAUAGAGACAUUAAUUCCUUGGAAAUACCCAGGUAAUGCUAAUGACAAUGAAAGGAGGAAGUUUGUAAAGUAUAAAAAUCAAAUUUGAGGAACUUUACUAUACUUAUUAUGAGAAGAAGAC